rnacentral:lncRNA from 13 species
ACAACUAGAGGGUGGACAGGAGGGUCAUUGAGCAGCGGAAUGGUUCUCAGGAGACUGAAGUAGCUCCUUUCUGCAGGCAGGUCGUGCCUACCAGUGUCCAGCUCUCAGCAUAGAGACCCAGCAGUAGAGAGGAAACCCUUUUUGCAGUGCUGGAUGCUUCCUGCCCUUGAACAUUGGACUUCAAGUUCUUCAGCUUUGGGACUGAGACUGGCUUCCUUGAUCCUUACCUUGCAGAUGGCCUACUGUAGGAUCCUGUGAUCAUGCCCAUGCAGAAACUGGAUGGAUCCUGCAGAAUGACUGUGAGCAUAAAGCUGCUGUCAAUUACCACUCUUCAAUCUGUUUCUGAUUUUGACUACUCUAGCUACAUCAUAAAUUCCUACAGCUACCCCAAACUUCAACAACCAUUAUUCUGAUCAGUCAGCAGUCAUUCAUAGCAAGGAUAGACUCAUCUCUAGCCAAAACGUUACAACUCCACUGAACGCUCAGAUGAGAUGAUCAUUAGCAUUUCAUAAUAGUUAAGUAUUUUUUAUUAAGG